GGAGAGGUGGCUGAGUGGUCGAAAGCGUCGGUUUGCUAAACCGAUGAGGGUGUAAAAGCCCUCCGCAGGUUCGAAUCCUGUCCUCUCCG
rnacentral:tRNA from 1 species